rnacentral:tmRNA from 1 species
CCCCUUGAAAUCGCACCCAAACCCUUCUACCUAAGGGACGUCCUUCGGGACUAUGGACAUAAACGCGCUCGUAAUAAGCGGAUCGGACCCGGGGGCGGUACCCGGCGGCUCCACCAAACAUCCUUCAUUUGGGGAUCAUGGGGCCGAAAUAGGAUCGACGAACGUCUAAAGGUGUUUGCUUUGUCUCGGCUGUCUGCCACCGUUAUCGGCGAAAACUGUACAAUUGCAAAUGACAAUCGUGCUCCAGUAGCAAUGGCCGCGUAAGCGACCGGAGAUACUGAAAUCUAAGUCCUAGGGCUUUGCAGCUUUAGGCGGGGUUCGCAGGUACCUGGCAACAGAAACCUGCAUU